rnacentral:lncRNA from 1 species
GGGAGAAAUUAGAAAUGUAGUUUUUGUUUUGAAUCCCUUGAAAAACUACAGUGACAUAGGAUUUACAUUGCACCUCCUAACUCUUCCAUUGGCUGUCAACAAUCUUUAGGGACUGGUUUCAACCGUCAUCUGUUACCGGGCAGAAAAUUAUGGCUCAGUCAAUCACUGGCCAGUCUGAGGAGAGGUGUCUUAUGACUCGCAUGCACGUGACUUUGUUGUUUUUUUAUUUUUCUUCUGGGAUGAAUACCUAUUGCCCGGUUGUAAAAGUAUCGCAAUUUUACGUAAAAAAAUACCCUAAAGGAUUGAUUGUAAACAUCGUUUGAUGUGUUUCUACAAACGGAAAUGGAACUUUGAACAUUUCGAAUAUGGAUUUGCGUCCACACCACAUGGCAUUGUAAAGUGUUCUGGAUGGGUCAACAAAACGGACGUAUUUGGACAUAAAUGAUGGACUUUGCAGAACAAAUGAACAUUUCUUGUGGAAGUGGGUGCCCAUCCGAGUGCAUUCCGCCAAAGACCAGCAAAGGUAGUCGCCAGUCUACUAACCACCGGUCCAGGCACCAUCAUUACGCACACCUGCUCCCCAUCAUUAUGCACACCUGGACUUCAUCAUCACCUUGAUUACUCUCACUUUAUUUAUCCCUCUGCAGCCUAAGUCAUCAGCCAAUACUGGUUUGGUUCACGUUCAGUACGCUUCACCAGUUUUUUUUAUCUGCCUUGUCCAUGUUUAUUAAACUCACCUUCUGCACCUGAUUUCAAGCGCGUACGUUACAAUCUGUUUGUUGUGAAAAGCACUUCAUAAAAAGUGAAUGUUGGACUCAAACCUCAAAUACAAAUGAUCAAAUAAACACCUGUAUCUCUCUAUGAACGGAUGGUCAUAGAGAGAUGGAAGGUCAUUACAUGAUUGCAUUUUCCCUGAACUUUUACCACGGUCUCACAGUACUUUAACUCCUCCUCCACCAUGUCCACCCAUUGGUCUAUCAUGAAAGAGGAAAGGGGAUGAAUGGGCCAUGGCCAAACACAGUGACUUGCACCUUGGGGACCAUAUUUAACAUGACUGGUCAGAAGCCUGUCAGUAAACGAGACUGUAGAAACAUGGGUAACAACAUGAGGAUAGCAGAGAUCAAAGCUCUUUGGAUGUGCUGUUUGAUCCAACAAUCUUAUUGCUCUCAGCAAUAAGAGAUCAUAUCGUACUAGGAGAUGUAUAAUUGAAAGAUCAUAUCGCAGAUACAGUAGAGCUGUUCUGUUUCAUCAUGUACUGUACAGUAAUAGCCAUCUUAUUUAUGAAUCCCUUUUCUUACAGACCGAAGAUUCUGAGAUCUGUGCAUGUGUUUAUGGGUCAUUCCAAGGAAUAAAUCCCUUUUGAGUCCCUUUGAUAUUUUAAUUAGAAAUUGUGCACCAAUAUUGAACAUUUAAAAGCCUGUUACAUUAAAUGAAGUGCCCUUUAAUAUAGACCACAUGUACAGUUCAGUAAAUCAGAUUUUGUAUAUGAGUAAAGACUUGGUAAAAUGCCAAAAUUGACAAAAGUGACUUCUAGGAAAAUUGUAUCCACAAAAUUCCUCCAAGUUUUCACCAUCAGCAUAAAGCCCUAGUUGCAGUAUUUUGUUGCUUUAACUAAGUGAUUUCUGGAGAUUAUUAUUUAUUUCAUGUGAUUAGUGGUAAAAUAAACUGCUAUGUGAACUUAACUCUCAUUUUAAUAUGGUAAACUAUUAGUUUAUUUUUUUUUCAAAAGAAACAUUGAACAUCUAAUAGUAAAAGCAUAGUGUAAAAGCAGGUGAGCUGGUUCUAAUCUUCUUGGCCAUUUUCUGGUGUGUUGUGUUGGAGAACUGAGCGAGUCAAGCAUAACACGUCAACCCUGUUAUCCAUAGAUAGUCUAGUAAUGUUUUGACAAUUACAUGUUUUUUGAGAAGCGUGCAUUCAAUUGCCCCUCCCUAUUGCACACAAGCUUCCAUUCCUCCUGUCACAAGAGGAUUCAUGGCUGUUAUUAGAUUAAAUCGUCACCCCUGUUACUUUAUUUGGCACUUAAUAGACCCUUCACUAUAGUCAAAAUGGGAAAACUUGUUUUUUUAUUAAGUUGAACAUUUGCUCUUUAUGACAGAAUGUUAAAAUAUUCAAAUGUUUUGUUUUCUACCAAGUUACACUACCCAAAAGGGACUCAUUUGGGGGAAUGUAUGUGUCCCUUAUUAAGUGUUUAGUUAGACGACCCAAAUAAGGUGAAAAUCCACCAUCUAUUGGUUGAAUAUCUCAUCUGUUGCCUGGCUCUGUGCUUCCUUUCUAUGGCGUCACCGCUCUUUGAUGUCAUCAGAUAAUUGCUCCUUUUUGAACUGGGGAUGGAACGCUGGCAUGGCGUUAACCACCAGGAUGUUCUCAUGGCAACCACCUUCAUGUGUGUCAGCUGUAAGCAACUGUUUAUUGUUUCCAGUAAGAGGGAACACUUUAGUCUGUUGAUACGACAUGUAGGCCUGCGAGAAAGGCACUUCUGGGAGUGGAGUGGAGAGGAGAGGAGAGGAGAGGAGAGGAGAG